AUGAAGUGGGCACACACUCUCACAGGGAUUUUAAUUGGCUGCUUUGUUUUGGACAUGCUGCCUUUGUCAUGUUCGUUUCCUGAUGCUGAUUUUGGUUUUGGUUUGGAAAUUGAAGGCCCCAAGAUUGUUAAGGUCAUACACAGAUUUACAGGGAAAAGGUACAGCAUCACAUGUAGCGUGUUACCAGGGCAACUUAAAGAUGAGACCCUUGUAUACUGGUUGGGCAAUGACCAGUUUCUGAAGGAUGGCAGACUUGCAUUUAAAGAGAAGCGCUCAAAUGGGUACAUCUCAAGCAAACUGAUAUUUAAAGAAGUUCUACCAGAAGACUGUGCCACCAUUUUUACCUGUAUAGCACUAAACCCAGCUGGUUGGGACAGGAACAACACAACAUUGUGCAAAUGUGCAGACAACAGAAUGGCAGCGUGAUGCGUGGCCCAUCUUCAGACAAGGCCUUCUGCUUGCUGAUUGACUGAUGCCUUUUGACUGAUACAAUAUUUGUUUGUAAUAUGGAUGUAUAAAGCAGCUACAGCAGCUAAUGGCCUCGUGGUGCAUCUGUGCUGCAGCAUUAGCACACUGGCUACCAGCUUUGUUCAACGUUGCUACCUCACUACUAGUACAUUGGCCACUGGCCUUGUCUAGCAUCGCUACCUCAGCAUGUUCAUGAUUUUGCGACGGUAUAAUCAUCUUUUAUGCCAGGAUCAGUAUACACAAUGAUUUCGUCUUUUUUAUAUGUUCACUAUGUCAAAUUAGACAUUUAAUAGAGUAGUAAAGAAGUAUUGAAUGUAUAAAAGACAAUUUACAGUCACAAAAAUCAGGAGCAAUCUCCUAUGAAAUGGCUAUGUACUAGAUGGAAUUUUGAGAAAUGAAUAUUAUAUGCAGACUAUGGCAGUCUGGCAAAACUAGGCUUGUCUGAUCUUUUUUUUUUUUUUUUUUUUUUUUUUUUUAAUACUUCAAAGCUCCUUUGAGGCAGUGUUCUAUAUACAAAGGAGUUCAGUAAUGAAGGGAACCUUACAGAGAUGUUGUUACUAUUUAAACCAGAAUAUAUAUAUAUAUAUAUAUAUAUAUAUAUACAUGUGUGUGUGUGUGUAUAUAUAUAUAUAUAUAUAUAUAUAUAUAUAUAUAAACAGAAAUUUGCACUUCUCUACUGAAUACAGUGGAAGUUUUAGAAGGAUUUUAUAUUUUAAGUACCAGAUGUUUCAGUGUUCAUUCCUGCAUGUGUGAGCCAGUUAUAUGUGUCAGGGGGAAUGCUCUUAGCAAAUAAGCUUAAUGUUGAGCAGUCUUGAAUUUUUAUGUGUGUGUUUUGUUUUUUUUGUUAUGUCAUUCAAAUAGUAGGCUUCAUGCAUUUCAUUGCUUUAAAUUGUAAAAUGUAUGCUAAUUUAAAAAUAAAUAAAAAUAAAUUAUUGAAUUAGCC
rnacentral:lncRNA from 1 species